GCCAGGCGUGGUGGCGCAUGCCUGUAAUCCCAGCUACUCGGGAGGCUGAGGCAGGAGAAUCGCUUGAACCUGGGAGGCAGAGGUUGCAGUGAGCCGAGAUCAUGCCAUUGCAUUUCCAGCCUGGGUGACAGAGUGAAACUCUGUCUCAA
rnacentral:SRP_RNA from 1 species